rnacentral:rRNA from 1 species
CGCACCGUAAACGAUGAUUACUCGUUGUUGGCAAUAUGACCGUCAGCGACCAAGCGAAAGCGAUAAGUAAUCCACCUGGGGAGUACGCCGGCAACGGUGAAACUCAAAGGAAUUGACGGGGGCCCGCACAAGCGGAGGAGCAUGUGGUUUAAUUCGAUGAUACGCGAGGAACCUUACCUGGGCUUGAAAGUUAGCGACCGGUCCUGAAAGGGACUCUCCAGCAAUGGCGCGAAACUAGGUGC